UGGUAGUGACGAAAAAUAACAACGCGGGACUCUUCCGAGUCUGCGUAAUUGGAAUGAGCACACUUUAAAUCCUUUAGCAACAACCAAUUGGAGGGCAAGUCUGGUGCCAGCAGCCGCGGUAAUUCCAGCUCCAAUAGCGUAUAUUAAAGUUGUUGCGGUUAAAAAGCUCGUAGUUUGAGUUGAGUUGCGGACUGGUGUGGGAGGUCACCGCCCGGUGCUUCCCCGUCAGGCUCCGAACAGCUUCCGUGAGUGGAAGCCAAGCCGGUUCUGCCGGGGUGCUCUUUACCGAGUGUCCCGCGCGGCCGGCCAGUUCACCUUGAAUAAAUGAGAGUGCUCAAAGCAGGCUACUCUGGAAUACAAUGCCCGAAUGUUAACUGCAUGGAAUGAUGGAAGAUGAUCUCGGUUCCAUUUUGUUGGUGGUGGGAGCCAGAGGUAAUGAUAAAGAGGGACUGUCGGGGGCAUCCGUACUACGACGCGAGAGGUGAAAUUCAGUGACCGUCGUAGGACGAACAACAGCGAAAGCAUUUGCCAAGAAUGUCUUCGUUGAUCAAGAACGAAAGUUAGAGGAUCGAAGGCGAUCAGAUACCGCCCUAGUUCUAACCCUAAACGAUGCUGACUAGCAAUUCGCCGUCGUUAUUCCCAUGACGUGGCGAGACGCCCCCGGGAAACCUCAAGUGUUUGAGUUCCGGGGGUAGUAUGGUUGCAAAACUGAAACUUAAAGGAAUUGACGGAAGGGCACCACCAGGAGUGGAGCCUGCGGCUUAAUUUGACUCAACACGGGAAAGCUCACCAGGCCCGGACACCAGAAGGAUUGACAGAUUAAGAGGUCUUUCUCGAUUUGGUGGGUGGUGGUGCAUGGCCGUUCUU
rnacentral:rRNA from 1 species